GGGAGUUUUUCUUCUCUGUCGCUACAUGCAUGCUCAGUAUGAGGGAUUGCUGCCAAGUCAAUGCGAGCGACUGUCCACUGUCGCUACAUGGUAAAACAUUUUUAACCAAUUUAAAUAAUUAACUGAAUCCGACUACAAAAUCAGAUUAAUCGAAUCCAUCAGAUUGAUUUCAAGUCAGGAAUAAUCGGAAUGUAUGUACCUAACUAUCAAACAGUGCAAAGUGCCAUGAGGCACCAUGUGUUGUGAAUUGGCGCUAUAUAAAUAAACUGAAUUGAAUUGAAUUUAUCUUCCGCCAAACAAGCAGUUUCUUCUAGGUCCGUGUGGUUCUUUCUUCGAAACAGACACAGUCAUUUGCACAAUCGUUUCAAAGUCCUGAUACUGGUAAUAAUUUGAUGCCAAUGUGCUAAGAAAUUAACAAUGUUGUUAUUUGUGAAACCAAUACAAAAGCAUAGCUUCACAAGAUGCUCAACAUUCCUCAUUUUAACGCAUGGAAGAAUGUGUUUUGUAAGAUUUGUCAUAAAAAUUUCCAAUGGCCAGUCUGCCCCUGGGCCUAGGAGUCCCAGGAACCUUCUUAAUAUAUCAGUUUAGAAACUCAAGCCUGAAGGUCAGAAAUCAACAAACUGUGAUACAGUAAUCGAAUCAAAAUUUGAUUAUGAUUAUGACGGAAUUUGGUCAAUACUAUAAAAGUACCAAAUUUGGUACCAUCCCUAGCUCUCAGGGUGGUUUUGAACAAGAAUAGCAACUAGUGCGCCGAGCUCAUAGAGCAAAACCCCAUGUCGAUGUGCGUAUCACUAUAAGAAAGUCACGUGACCAAUACAGGAACUGUUUCGAACUGACUCUGAUGCGCCAAACUGUGUUUAUAAGGAAGCAUAUUUGUCAACGAGAUGCAUCUGCCCAAAAGAAUGUCUCAUCUUCUGCGGUUCAUCAUCAAAUUCAUCAAGAAUUACUGAGCAGCCUCGAGCCAAACGAAAGGUUUCCGCCGUGUUGACCAUUUUUGAUCUGAUAUCGGAAAAUAAGGUAUUUGUUUUAAUUUCCUUGUUUCAUCUUGUUCCUCUCAGAGUUUCCAAUUGAUCUAUCUGAACUGAAAUUCAUUUCAAAGUGACUCUUAGUUUACUGUUCAUAUUAUUUUCUGAAGGUUAAAGUUUGAAUUUGUUCGACAGAACUUUCCAAUUUAAACAAAAGCACCUCCUCAAUGCUCUGGCAUUAUAGGGCCAGGCAUGAGAAUGAAGUCCCAGAUACACCCAGGAUAAACUCAGCUUCCAGGAAGCAGAUGCUGGAUGAGGCUCUGCUGAAUUUCAUCCUGAAGGACUGACAGCCCCUCAGCACUGUGGAGAGUGAAGGGUUCAGGGAACCUGUUCAGGUCCUUCAGCCCUCAUAUGUUUUGCCAACCAGAAAGACCAUUAAACGAAUGGUGGCCAAAAAGUACGAGGAGGAACGGGAAUGAGGUGACUGUGGCUCAGUAGGAAGAGUAGUCGUCUUGCAAUCAGAAGGUUGUGGGUUUGAUUCCAGCUUCCUCCUGCCAUAUGUCGAUGUGCCCCUGGGCAAGGCACUUAUCCUCAAGUUGCCUAUCGAUCUGGGUAUCGGUGUAUGAAUGUGUGAGCGUUGAGUGAAUGAGACUCUUGUGUAAAGCGGUUUGAGUGGUCUGUAUGACUGGAAAAGCUAUAAGUUCUAUAAGUUCAGUCCAUUUACCAUUUUGCGAGUGAAAAUGGAAGUACAGCAAGUUGUGGCAGUGAGUAUACCAGCUGACAUGUGGACAUCUGUAACAUGGAGGCUUACUUGGCUCUUACCUGUCGCUACAUUAAUGAGAAUUUGCAGUUGUGUACAUCUGUGUUGGGAGUGCAAUACUUUCCACAAAGUCACACAUUUUGGCCCAAGUCAAAAGGGGCAUGAUGGAGGACUGGGCCAUAACCAAUAAAGUAAUGAUGCCAUAACAAACAUGAUGGCAUCCACUAGACGGCUCCAAAUUCGGCACUCACCUUGUAUUGCAUAUAGUCCCAAUUUAUUAGUUAGAAAAUCAUGUGAUCAGAUCCCCACUCUUACAUUCAUCAGACACAAAGCCAGGCACAUUGUCACAACCUUCAGAUCAAGUAGCCAAGGAGAAGCUUGGUCAAGCACAGCAACAGAUGGCACGACCAACCCUGAAACUUAUCAAUGAGGUGCCAACAUGCUGAAACAGCACAUAUGAAAUGCUGUCAAGGCUACAUGAUGAGAAGGAACCAGUGUUGGUAUCUCUGGCCUCUACAAACAGAUUUGACUCCACUUACAACUGAUGAGUAUACCAUCAUAGGAAAAACACUUCUUGUGCUUGCUCCUUUCCUUCAAGCUACAGUGGAGUUGUCUGAAGAGAGGUGAGUGUCAGGGUCAAACGUCAUCCCAAUGAUAAAAAUGCUCUAUCUUGCACUAGAGCUUAAUACUUCAACCUUGCACACACAGGCUAUGGCUAUACACCUACAUGAACACCUGAAGCAUUGAGUCACAGACACUGCUUCCAAUCUGGAGUCAUUAAGUGUGUUCACCCUAGCAACACUUCUAGAACCCAGAUUUAAAUCACUCGGGUUCUGCACUUCCUCCAAGUGCAAUGAGGCUGUCAGUAGACUGCGGUCAGAACAUGCACCUGUAAUUGGACGCACAAAUGAGCCCAAGCCAGGACCGUCUUCACAACAGCUGUCUGCACCCACGUCAGACAUGUUAUUCAGCAUUAUUUGUUUGUUGUUGUUGCUGUUGUUUAGAAAUCAUGCACUAAAAUGUCAAUUCUUUGUU